CCUACGGGGGGCAGCAGUGGGGGAUAUUGGACAAUGGGGGGAACCCUGAUCCAGCGACGCCGCGUGAGUGAAGAAGUAUUUCGGUAUGUAAAGCUCUGUCAGCAGGGAAGAAAGAAAUGACGGUACCUGACCAAGAAGCCCCGGCUAACUACGUGCCAGCAGCCGCGGUAAUACGUAGGGGGCAAGCGUUAUCCGGAAUUACUGGGUGUAAAGGUAGCGUAGACGGUUAAGUAAGUCUGGAGUGAAAGGCCGGGGCCCAACCCCGGGACUGCUCUGGAAACUAUUGAACUUGAGUGCAGGGGAGGUAAGCGGAAUUCCGAGUGUAGCGGUGAAAUGCGUAGAUAUUAGGAGGAACACCAGUGGCGAAGGCGGCUUACUGGACUGUAACUGACGUUGAGGCUCGAAAGCGUGGGGAGCAAACAGGAUUAGAUACCCCUGUAGUC
rnacentral:rRNA from 1 species